GGACUACAGGGGUAUCUAAUCCUGUUUGAUCCCCUUGCUUUCGCGCAUCAGCGUCAGGUAAUAGCUAGAAAACCGCCUUCGCCACUGGUGUUCCUCCACAUAUCUACGCAUUUCACCGCUACUUGUGGAAUUCCGUUUUCUCCGCCAUCCCUCUAGAAAUGGAGUUUCACGUGCUGUUCCGAGGUUGAGCCCCGGGAUUUCACACAUGACUUUCAUUUCCGCCUACGCGCCCUUUACGCCCAAUAAAUCCGAUUAAUGCUUGCACCCUCCGUAUUACCGCGGCGGCUGGCAC
rnacentral:rRNA from 1 species